AGGCUGCCCCUUGCCACUGGGAUCCAGACACAGCCUUUGCUCUCAGCCUGAAGUCAGUUCAUCCCUAUUUCUGUUUCUUGCACACAGGCUGCAUCCUCCAUUUUCACAAUUCUCAGUCUACAAAUGAAUCCAGCAGAGCUGACUGGAUGAGAAAAUCGAAGACUACAAUCUCAAUGGAUUUCAGCUGGACUGAAACCCUCUUCAUUUGGGGCACGGAUCAGCAGGGCCUGAAACCUUCUGGGAUCAAAGCAGCAACUACAGCGGCAGUUAAUGCCCAUCAUUUACCUUUGGAAUGGAGGGCCAAAAAAAGGCAAGACAAUGUUCAUGGGAUUAAAAUAUUUUCUACAAA